UCACAGCUGUCUGUGUGUCUAACUCCAGAGUCACUGGAUGCCUCUUUCUUGCAGAUUCAUUUGUAUAGACAUACAAGCACUUAUAUACCUACUGAAUGCACACACACACACACACACACACACACACACACAUAAGUAAACAACUAAAAUAUUUUGUUAAUAUUUUCUGUAUUCUGUCUUCUAACUUGCUGUGGGCCUGCCACUCUGGUCACUCUCAUUCCACCCCACCCCUCAGUUGCUGGAGGCUGGCCUCCCCUUUCACUCUCUACCCGCCCCACCCUGCACCAGCCGCAACCCUGUCAAUUCCCCCUAGAUUAGUGUGCACAUUUUUUAUUAGAUAUUUUCUUCAUUUACAAUUCAAAUGUUAUCCCAAAAGUCCCCUAUACCCUCCCCCUACCCUGCUCUCCAACCCACCAACUCCUGCUUCCUGGCCCUGGCAUUCCCCUGUAUUGGGACAUUUGAUCUUCACAAGACCAAGUGCCUCUCCUCUCUUUGAUGGCUGACUAGGCCAUCCUCUGCUACAUAUGCAGCUAGAGACACAAGCUCUGGGGGUACUGGUUAGUUCAUAUUGCUGUUCCUCCUAUAGGGUUACAUAUUCCUUCAGCUCUUUGGGUACUUUCUCUAGUUCCUUCAUUAGGGGCCACAUGUUCCAUCCAAUAGAUGACUCUAAGCAUCCACUUCUGUAUUUGCCAGGCACUGGCAUAGCCUCACAAGAGUCAGCUAUAUCAGGGUCCCUUCAGCAAAAUCUUGUUGGCAUAUGUAGUUUUGUCUGUGUUUGGUGGUUGAUUAUGGGAAGGAUCCCUGGAUGGGGCAGUCUCUGCAUGGUCCUUCCUUCCAUCUCAUCUCCAAGCUUUGUCUCUGUAACUCCUUCCAUGGGUAUUGUGUUCUCCAUUCUAAGGAGGGAUGAAGUAUCGACACUGGUAUUCCUUCUUCUUGAGUUAUUUGAGAAACUUAGAAUACCCAAGAUACAAUUAGUGCGUGUGCAUUUUUAGACUUCACCAGCAGAAGUUGUUUUGGUGCUGAAUCAGUGAGUGUGACCCGGUGACUCCAAGUGACCCCACCUGACCCUCAGUCCUCUUCUGGGUCACAUUCACCUGUGAGGCAGUAACCACUGAUAUCCGGGAAUCCCCGGAUCUCCCCUUCCCUGCAGUAACCCUGUGAAGUCACAUACAGCCUGCCUUGGCCCCACCCUCUCAAAAAUGGCCUGGCUAAGGCUAUUUGUAUUUGAUCUUAUUUCUUACAGAAGGAAAGCUCUCUGAUGGUAGGUGAUCAAGAUGCUGAUUUUAUGUAUAGCAGAAUGUCAUUAAGAGUGAUUUUACUGCUGUGUAACCUUAACAGAACAUAAAUAUAUGCAAUUUUACACAGUGUCUACAAUUUCUAUUUCAAUAUAUAUUUGUAUAUGCAAACAUAUUACCCAUUCAGUAAGGAUUAGUGGAAUAAGAGGCCAUGUGCAUUUUAAGAGGGCAGGGAGAGGUACAAAGGGUGUUCUGGAGAUAGGAAGUAAAAACAAAUGGCAACUAAAUGACAGUGUCAAAAUAAACAACCAAAUAAUAUUUUAAACAUAGAGCAGAAAACAGUACUUUGAGAGAAAAAUGACACUGGUAAUCAACACCUGAUAUAAAGAAAUAAUAAUGUGUAUGUGUUUAUAUGUGCAUGUUUGUGUGUGUAACAUUAAACUGAAAUAAACUUUAUUACUCAUAUUAUGAUAAAAUUUAUCAUGAGAACCUUUAUCUAGAGUGAUUUAUAUGUUUAUCAAAUUCACUGAUCUAAAUAUGGUGAAGGUCUUGUGUGGGACAUUUCCAUUAGUGAUUUACUCACUUAAUGAACUACAGCCAGUUCAUAAUGAAAUUGUGUCAUUUCACAAAAAUUCAGAGUCUUAUAUUGCAGUCACAAUCAGAACCUUAUCAUCCUUUUAAUAAAAUUAACUUUCCUUUAUAUGUUAUCUCAUAUUCUUAACAUCUACCUAGUAUAUUUUAAAGCUAUUCCAAAGUUCAGCACUUCUACACUGUCAUAUGCAUAGUGUCACCGUGCUUCAUACUCUGCUAAAGUUCACUGUUGUGUCUCUUUUCAAAUCAGUGCCUUUUAUCACAUCAGGAAUCUAUGAUCUUCCAAAUCCCAACAGAGGCAAUUUACCAUUUAAAUGAUUUCUUAGAUUUUUCUGCUGGACAAAAACACCAUGUCCAAAAGAAGCAUGUGGGGAAAGUGUUUAUUUAUUUAUGUACCUUUGUCAUAGUACAUUGAAUGAAGUCAAGGCAUGAAAUUGGAUGCAAGAACUCCAUGAAAGCAAGAGGGAUAAUGUUGAUUACUGGUUUCAUGUCCAUUUUGUAUGCAGUACCCUAUCUUAUAACUCAAGGACAGUGUGCCUAGAGGUGGUAUGGUUCACAGACAGUAGGGCAACCUCAUGUUAAUCAUUAAUUAAACACAUGGCUUAAACACAUAACCACAGGUCAAAAUGAUGAUACCCAUUCCUCAAUUGAGAUUCCCAGUUCUAAACAUAUUCAUGUUUGCUGUCCAGUUUGUAAGUAUAAAUCUGUAUAUUACUUAAUUUUUUAUAUGAUGAAGUACUACUUUUGUUAAGAUGAAGAAUAAGAUAAGUUGAAUAUAAUCUAACAUUUUCAUACCAUGAAAAUUUCAAUAAAGCAAUUUACCUUUGCGGUUCUUUGU
rnacentral:lncRNA from 1 species